AUUGAACGCUGGCGGCGUGCCUAACACAUGCAAGUCGAGCGGUAACAGGUGUAGCAAUACAUGCUGACGAGCGGCGAACGGGUGAGUAAUGCUUCGGAAUCUACCUUAUGGUGGGGAAUAACUAGCCGAAAGGUUAGCUAAUACCGCAUACGUCCUACGGGAGAAAGCAGGGGAUCGCAAGACCUUGCGCCAAAAGAUGAGCCGAAGUCGGAUUAGGUAGUUGGUAGGGUAACGGCCUACCAAGGCGACGAUCCGUAGCUGGUCUGAGAGGACGACCAGCCACCCGGGGACUGAGACACGGCCCAGACUCCUACGGGAGGCAGCAGUGGGGAAUAUUGGAAAAUGGGGGAAACCCUGAUUCAGCGACGCCGCGUGUGUGAAGAAGGCCUGCGGGUUGUAAAGCACUUUUAGUGGGGAUGAAAUGUGCAGGGUUAAUACCUCUGCAUUUUGACCUAACCCACAGAAAAAGCACCGGCUAACUCUGUGCCAGCCGCCGCAGUAA
rnacentral:rRNA from 1 species